UUUUUUUUGUUUAGCUCUUUUCCUGAACAACUCCUUGCAUUCUACUUGGAUUUCAAACCAGCGUUCCUCAGGAGUCACUUCAGGCUCCUUAUUUGUUUUUCUCUUUUUAUGUGCUGGCUUGGGAGCCGUUGGUCGUGACUUCAUAAUUGGGUCUCCAGCAGGUUCCUUUCUCAGGGCUGCAGGUACCUUGCUCGGGACUGCUCUUAGUCCCAGUGUCGUCGGUGAGCG
rnacentral:lncRNA from 1 species